UGAAUUUAUUAACAUAUUAUGUACAAGUAUUAUGUACAAGUAUAUAUUUACAGUACCAAAUAUUAAAUCAGAAUAGUAAAAUACAAAAAAGAGGUAAAGGGAGAAGUGUAGGAAUUAUGGACGCGCUAUACGGAAAUGAAUACUUGAAACGAUUUUUUUUAGAAACCUUCACAGUAACAAACGCGUUAGUAGCAUAA